rnacentral:rRNA from 1 species
GACGAACGCUGGCGGCGUGCUUAACACAUGCAAGUCGAACGAGUGGCGAACGGGUGAGUAAUACGUGAGUAACCUGCCCUCUUUUUGGGAUAAGCCUUUGAAACGGGGUACAAUACCGGACAAAGGGGGAUGGGCGCGUGGCCUGUCAGCUUGUUGGUGGGGUGAUAGCCUCCCAAGGCGGUGCCGGGUAGCCGGCCUGAGAGGGUGACAUGCAACUGUGAUACUGGGAAACGGCCCAGACUAGUACGGGAGGGGGCAGUGGGGGAUAUUGCAGAAUGGGUGAUAGCCUGAUGCAGCGACGCCGCGUGGGGGAUGAGGGCUUUAGAGUUGUAAACGUCUUUCGCUAUCGAACGGUUAGGUGGAGAAGAAGCACCGGCUAACUACGUGCCAGCAGCCGCGGUAAUAC